ACUUCUAACCCGGCCCCAACAAGCCGAGGGGUUUGGGGAGGCCGCGCCUCCCCAGCCUUCCCUUUUUUGCUGGCCG
rnacentral:tRNA from 1 species